UUCAAUAUACUGAGUAGAUAUACGGAGAGUAAUCCUGAUUUCAGUGAUUUGAGCUCAACUGCUCCAGAAAUGAGUUCCAUAUAUAUAACAGAGCCCCCUACUAAAGGAAAGGUACUAUUAAAGACCACACUGGGUGAUAUUGAUAUUGAACUGUGGUCCAAAGAGGCUCCUCUGGCCUGUCGUAACUUCA